rnacentral:rRNA from 1 species
AUUGAACGCUGGCGGCAUGCUUUACACAUGCAAGUCGAACGGCAGCACGGGGGCAGUCCUGGUGGCGAGUGGCGAACGGGUGAGUAAUACAUCGGAACGUGCCCGGUCGUGGGGGAUAACGUAGCGAAAGUUACGCUAAUACCGCAUACGAUCUGAGGAUGAAAGCGGGGGACCUUCGGGCCUCGCGCGAUCGGAGCGGCCGAUGUCAGAUUAGGUAGUUGGUGGGGUAAAGGCCUACCAAGACGACGAUCUGUAGCUGGUCUGAGAGGACGACCAGCCACACUGGGACUGAGACACGGCCCAGACUCCUACGGGAGGCAGCAGUGGGGAAUUUUGGACAAUGGGCGCAAGCCUGAUCCAGCCAUUCCGCGUGCAGGACGAAGGCCUUCGGGUUGUAAACUGCUUUUGUACGGAACGAAAAGGCUCUGGCUAAUACCUGGGGCUCAUGACGGUACCGUAAGAAUAAGCACCGGCUAACUACGUG